UACAGAGGGGGCAAGCGUUGUUCGGGAUUACUGGGCGUAAAGGGCGCGUAGGCGGCCUUCUAAGUCGAACGUGAAAUCCCCGGGCUCAACCCGGGAACUGCGUCCGAGACUGGAAGGCUCGAAUCCGGGAGAGGGAUGUGGAAUUCCAGGUGUAGCGGUGAAAUGCGUAGAUAUCUGGAGGAACAUCGGUGGCGAAGGCGGCAUCCUGGACCGACACUGACGCUGAGGCGCGAAAGCUAGGGGAGCAAACGGG
rnacentral:rRNA from 1 species